rnacentral:rRNA from 1 species
AGUCAAUAGAUACCCUGGUAGUCUACGCCGUAAACGAUGAAUACUAGGUGUGGGGGUUGUCAUGACCUCCGUGCCGCCGCUAAACGCAUUAAGUAUUCCGCCUGGGGAGUACGGUCGCAAGAUUAAAAACUCAAAGGAAUUGACGGGGGCCCGCACAAGCAGCGGAGCAUGUGGUUUAAUUCGAAGCAACGCGAAGAACCUUACCUAGACUUGACAUCUCCUGAAUUACUCUGUAAUAGAGGAAGCCCUUCGGGGCAGGAAGACAGGUGGUGCAUGGUUGUCGUCAGCUCGUGUCGUGAGAUGUUGGGUUAAGUCCCGCAACGAGCGCAACCCUUAUUGUUAGUUGCUACCAUUUAGUUGAGCACUCUAGCGAGACUGCCCGGGUUAACCGGGAGGAAGGUGGGGAUGACGUCAAAUCAUCAUGCCCCUUAUGUCUAGGGCUACACACGUGCUACAAUGGCUGGUACAGAGAGAUGCGAUACCGCGAGGUGGAGCCAAACUUUAAAACCAGUCUCAGUUCGGAUUGUAGGCUGAAACUCGCCC